AGUAAUACAUAAGUAACCUGCCCUAGACAGGGGGAUAACUAUUGGAAACGAUAGCUAAGACCGCAUAGGUACGGACACUGCAUGGUGACCGUAUUAAAAGUGCCUCAAAGCACUGGUAGAGGAUGGACUUAUGGCGCAUUGCUGGUUGGCGGGGUAACGGCCCACCAAGGCGACGAUGCGUAGCCGACCUGAGAGGGUGACCGGCCACACUGGGACUGAGACACGGCCCAG
rnacentral:rRNA from 1 species